rnacentral:rRNA from 1 species
AUGAACGCUGGCGGCGUGCCUAAUACAUGCAAGUCGAGCGAACAGAUGAGGAGCUUGCUCCUCUGACGUUAGCGGCGGACGGGUGAGUAACACGUGGAUAACCUACCUAUAAGACUGGGAUAACUUCGGGAAACCGGAGCUAAUACCGGAUAAUAUAUUGAACCGCAUGGUUCAAUAGUGAAAGACGGUUUUGCUGUCACUUAUAGAUGGAUCCGCGCCGCAUUAGCUAGUUGGUAAGGUAACGGCUUACCAAGGCAACGAUGCGUAGCCGACCUGAGAGGGUGAUCGGCCACACUGGAACUGAGACACGGUCCAGACUCCCACGGGAGGCAGCAGUAGGGAAUCUUCCGCAAUGGGCGAAAGCCUGACGGAGCAACGCCGCGUGAGUGAUGAAGGUCUUCGGAUCGUAAAACUCUGUUAUUAGGGAAGAACAAAUGUGUAAGUAACUAUGCACGUCUUGACGGUACCUAAUCAGAAAGCCACGGCUAACUACGUG